GACGUACUUGACAAAGGCCCAGCCAGAGCCGAUCAAAGCGAUGGUGAUGAAGAGGAGAGCGCCCUUCAGCCUGGGGAGUGUGUGUGAUGAGGAGCCUCAGAGGGGCCAAUGCACUUGCCCAAGAUCACACGGAUGAGGGGCAGAGCUACACACUGAGGACAGGGGGCUUGGAAACUUGUGCUCUUCGCCCUGCUCCAGCAAACUCCUCAAAGCCCCUCACCAGCGGGGCCUUCUCUUCUGUCUCCUGGAGGCCCAGACGCAGGAGGCUCAGGUCCACCUCCAGGGAGCCAUUGGUGUAGAAGCCGAAGCUAUUCAGCUGGAUGUCUGCUCGCUUCUCCCCCUGCCGGAGACCAAGGAGGAAGAGGCAGCGGCAGCUCAGACUUCUUUCCAACUCAGCCCCACGGCUCUGGCGCGAGGUCCCCCUAAGAGCUCGGCCCCCUCCUGGUACCCCUAGAUUGAGGACAGGUCCAAAGAGUAAUGGGAGAGGCUGAGAGGGCCUUCCCGGAGGCCAUGUCCCCAGACCAAUCCCCCGGGGAGGAACAGGGUAGCCCCACAUCCUCCAGCCACCAUUCUGAGAGUCCAGCAAAAGAAAGCCUGGGGCAUUUGCGAGUCUCCGCACUUGGUGAACACCACCCCAAGAGCAGAGUUAUUUAUCUUGGUGCGCCGAGCUCUGACCUCCCAGUUUGUAGAUUCCAAAUGAGUCCCCAAGAUCCCAGUGAGUGCCCAGAGAACCCAAUCCUAGAAACCCCAGGGACUCCCCUGGGCGGCGCCAAAGGUGCCAGCGGCCCCAGAGCAAUCUCAAGAAUUUAGAGGACUAAGGGGCGGGCGGGAGGGGGUGGGGUGUUCCCUGGAGCUGAAGACCCACCCCCCCAACGGGCGGGGCACAGUCCUAACACUGCCAGCCAGGCUGCGCCACCAAAGGACUGAAGGGACUCCUCGGACGAGACCACUCCGGGCCUGGAGGCGGGGGGCGCCGGACCGCUCCAUCCCACGUAAGACGAGGGGGAGGUAGGACGAGACCACUCCAAACCAGGGGCUUCUUCGAGACAACACUGCGCCCCCCGCCCCAGUCCGCCGCGCGGCGGGACUCACCGUCAGCGCCAGUCGGUGGAUGCGCCCAGAACAGCCACCCAAGAGCAGCAGCAGAAGUAGCAGCUGCCCCCACUCCGGGGGGCUCCGGCGGGCGAGCCCCCUCCUCUCGCUCACUGCCAUCUCUAGAGCCACCACCUCCCCUGAUACCGCCUCUGACGCCCCCACCGCCAACGGGUGAGCCAAUCGCCACGCGGUGAGGGCCGACCUUCCGGCAUUUCCAGCCCGCCCAGCCAAUCAGCGACUCUUUCCUAGAAAAUCCGCAUCCCCACCCCCGCACGACACCAAACAGACAACAACGGCUCCGAAUGGGGUGCUGAUAAUGAUUAACCCCCAUCUCCGCUCUCACCAAUCAUUAGAAAGAUUGUCCCGAUGUAAUUUGACAAACAGUCCACCUAACCAAUUGUGAUGGAUCUGAUAUCCCGCCCUUGAAGCGGAACUCCUUCAUCCACGCCCAACUGAACGUCUGUCCAGGACUACGUUACCCAGAAUGCAGUGAGAGCAGACAGCGCAACAGGGCAUUCAAUAAACUACAUAUCCCAAUA